rnacentral:SRP_RNA from 1 species
CGUCUGUCCCCUCGCGACGAUAGCUUGUGAACUCCGCCAGGUCCGGAAGGAAGCAACGGCAGCAAGUGACUCGGGUGCCGGGGUGUGGCUGGCGAGG